CACACCUCUCUCAGUUCUUGCAGGAGGGAAAGAAUAGGAAGGAGUGUGCACGCAUAUAAACGGUGUCGCAAUCUCAAGCAUAGGCUAUUUUAAAGGAAAAGGCUACUUUCUCUCAACAAUCAAGAUUAGGAAUCAAUUAUUUAUGCGACUGAGAUUGGUCCCGUUGCUCUAGGAUUAAGUUUUUGUUGCAUCUAAAGGUGGAUCAUUAGCCUAAUUAAUAUCCAACAUAGGAAGCGAUAUUUUAAAGCGUAUGAUGAUAUUUUCGGACGCCUAAAGCCACCGCUUGAACUCUCAAUAAACAUCUAAUCGAGGUGUGUGGUGUGUUGGCAUGCCUCGUGGGGAAUUCUGGGUAGAGUGCUAGCUUCCUAAAGAUUGGCCGACAGGAGGAAAAGAGAACAGAGGAGGAUAGGAGGAGAGGAGUGCUAACAUGGCUCUGCCCGACAAACACAAAGUGAAACGCCAACGACUAGACAGAAUCUGUGAAGGACAAUGACCCAACACACCUCCAGGCUGUGUAAGGGCU